rnacentral:rRNA from 1 species
UUGGAGGGCAAGUCUGGUGCCAGCAGCCGCGGUAAUUCCAGCUCCAAUAGCGUAUAUUAAAGUUGUUGCAGUUAAAAAGCUCGUAGUUGAAUUUCGGGGUUAGUAGGUUGGUCGUGCCUCAGGUAUGUACUGAUCUCACUGAUUCCUCCUUCCUGAUGAACCGUAAUGCCAUUAAUUUGGUGUUGCGGGGAAACUGGACUGUUACUUUGAAAAAAUUAGAGUGUUUAAAGCAGGCUAACGCUUGAAUACAUUAGCAUGGAAUAAUGAAAUAGGACGUUCGAUCCUAUUUUGUUGGUUUCUAGGAUUGACGUAAUGAUUAAUAGGGAUAGUUGGGGGCAUUAGUAUUCAAUUGUCAGAGGUGAAAUUCUUGGAUUUAUUGAAGACUAACUACUGCGAAAGCAUUUGCCAAGGAUGUUUUCAUUAAUCAAGGACGAAAGUUAGGGGAUCGAAGACGAUCAGAUACCGUCGUAGUCUUAACCAUAAACUAUGCCGACUAGGGAUCGGAUGAUGUUAAUUUUUUAAUGACUCAUUCGGCGCCUUACGGGAAA